GGGGCGACAAGAGUUGGUGUUGAAUUUAAACUCUGAUGUUGGAAGGAUCCCACAUCGAGAAGCUAACAUAAGAGUGGAUGCGAAGCUGGCUUUAAAUAGAGAGAACCAUGAGGAGAGUAAAGGUACCUUUUCUUGGCUGAUCCCUUUCGCUGUAUGGCGUGCUCGUUUGGGUUGGGCGUCGGCUAAGAGUGCUCGGAGCGUGGAUUAACUCCAGUCUCCUAUCAGGUGAUUGAUUAUGGAAACGUUUCAACUUCAACCCAUAACAGGUAAUCCCUAAGCUUAGAUGGUUUGGAGCUGCGAGGGACUCGAAGAUGGCCACACUAUUGUUUCUGUUUCUUUUAAUCGUAAUAAGUAGCCGAUUUAUUUCUUUAUAAGUUUUAUCUUAUUAAUUUUAUUAUUUGGUUUUGGGUUGUAAUAAGGCCAUUUUAAUUAUUUUUCUGGGAUUAUUUUAUCUUAUACCCUAUAUUUUUCUGAUAACAAUAUGAGUUAGACCUAGGGCACGUUUCCAAAA